GCGCGCUUAGCUCAGUGGUAGAGCAUCUCCUUUACACGGAGAGGGCCGUGGGUUCGAAUCCUACAGCGCGCA
rfam:Candidatus Yanofskybacteria bacterium RIFCSPHIGHO2_01_FTLL_44_22 rifcsphigho2_01_scaffold_12572, whole genome shotgun sequence.